rnacentral:tRNA from 1 species
GCCUUCGUAGUGUAGUGGUCAGCACUCAUGACGCUUAACCGAGAAGUCCGUGGUUCGAUUCCCGGCGAAGGCG